GACGUUAGCGGCGGACGGGUGAGUAACACGUGGGCAACCUGCCUGUAAGACUGGGAUAACUUCGGGAAACCGAAGCUAAUACCGGAUAGGAUCUUCUCCUUCAUGGGAGAUGAUUGAAAGAUGGUUUCGGCUAUCACUUACAGAUGGGCCCGCGGUGCAUUAGCUAGUUGGUGAGGUAACGGCUCACCAAGGCAACGAUGCAUAGCCGACCUGAGAGGGUGAUCGGCCACACUGGGACUGAGACACGGCCCAGACUCCUACGGGAGGCAGCAGUGGU
rnacentral:rRNA from 1 species